UACAACCUUCUUAAAUUGAUUAUAUACUACUCGAUGACCAAAUCAAAACUAAUGAGUGUAGUAUGAUGGUUUAGGUUUUAUACCUCUAUCUUUUGGUUUCUAAAAUCUGUAGCACAAGUUACAAAAACAGUGUAUUUUUUUCUUUUGAGUAAAUUUAAGAUAUAUUCAAAAACAAAUGUGAGGUUUGUUAAUUGUUCAUAUAUUUUAUUGUAAGGUGAAAGUGUCUCCACCCAUUGUGAUUCCCCUUGAAUGGCAAGAAAACUCAUUUAUUUUACAGUUUUUGUUAUUAUUCUGGAUUCCGGUAGAUGAUUUUUCUGGUUACUAGUUUAUGGCCCAUGUUAUGCAUGGGAAAAAUGAUUGUAAAAGUAUCCAUGCCAAAAUGAGUGUUCAAAAAAAAAAAAAAAGUAUCCAUGCCAAAAUGAUUGUUCAAAGUGUCUUCAAUUAUAAGAGAAUAAAAAUGUGUUUUAUUGGCA
rnacentral:lncRNA from 1 species